CGGUUGACCUCGGAUCAGGUAGGGA
rnacentral:rRNA from 1 species